GGUACUCUUUUUUUCCCUUUAAAAUCCAUCAUUACUGGUCCAAUAUUAGUAUUGUUUAACUAUGCAUGGAAACUAGAAUUGUGUUGAAAACAAGGUGUAAAUACUCCUUCCCCAUAGUUUAAUAUGUAAUUAACUUUUUUGCAAGUUUUGUUCAGUCCAUUUCCUCCGCAGUCCUUUAAAUCGUCAAAUUUAUCCAGUAUUUCACAAACACAACUAAACUUGAUUGAAUGAAUUGAAAGAUGAUUUAUAAAUAAUGUGGGUUAAAUGAGAUGCAUCUACAGGAUGAUAACACGAUUAAUGUUAUUACAAAUUGAUUGUCCUAAAGGGAACGUAUGUCAUGAAUUUAGCAGGAAUUUUUUCUGCCACUUCAAAAUGACGGUAAUCUUUUUAGAAACAUAUUUUUCUUGCAACAGGCCGCCCGAAGUUCCCUUAAAAAGUUGUUGCAAUGGUGUUAUAACGUGUAAAUAAAUUUGUAUCUCCUUACACUAUUUCGACUAGAUAAAGACUCGUAUAUAUAAAUUCCGCAGAACAAAAAUUACAAACUUUUCAUCUAUUUUAAAUUGUAAAGAAAUGUGUUAAAUAGAUACUGAGAAAUGAUACGACCGUGAUUAUUUCAUAUUAUCGAUGCUGAUCACAUCUCUCAUAAAAUUGCACUACUAAUUUUAUCAUUGGUAAGUUCUGUAAAAAAAAACAAAAAACAUAUUAUGAUAUAACAAGAUGGGAAAUCAAAUUACCAAACAUCAACAAAUAACCCUCUUGAGUACAACGUUUAUUUCGUAAUAUCCGUAUCAUCCCUCUCCUUAUAUUCGACACUGCCCAAUAAUUUUCACUUAUAGUAUUUAUAUCUC
rnacentral:lncRNA from 1 species